AUCGAUCUCUCGAUCUCUGAAUCAUGAUGGCAAAAAUUCUUCUGCUGAUGCUCUUUGCAGUCGCCAUAGAAAGUGCCUUCUCUUCUCGUGGGCCUGGUAUAAAACCUGACUGCACAAUCUUUUCCCCAAAUUUUUGCACGAGGGAAUAUGAGCCUGUGUGUGGCGCUGAUCAAGUCACAUAUAGCAAUGUGUGCUCACUGUGUGGCAAAAUAAGGGAAACAGGAGAUGACAUAAGAAUCAUCAAAAUUGGUGCAUGCAAUACCAGACCAAGAGGCCAACAUUCAAAAUCUAUAAUAAAUGAAUGAUCAUUGAAUGUUUGUUCUGGACUUUUUUCAAAGUCUACAAUAAAGCAUAAAUAAAGCAUAUGAAA